rnacentral:lncRNA from 1 species
ACUUCAGAUUGCAGAUUUGCCAAAGCUUCAUGUAGAGCCCUUCUCUCUUUUAUCACGAGUAAAAGUUCAGGUUUAAAAUAGAACAACGGAUGACUAAUGCCAUUUCCAGCUGUGACUGAAUUCUCCACUGCCUGAUGCUUUUCAAAUGUAUCUGAAUCAGAAUCGAACACCCACUUUAUGCAUAGCUCCCUAAUCAGGAAGUUAUUCUUCCCAUCAAAGCAACUGGAAAGAAAAAAGAUAAAACAAUGAAGGGAGGAGAAAACACAAAAGUUCAAGAAGAGCAGAAUGUUCCGGCAAGGAGAAAAAGCUGGGAAAAGUCACCAAUGAAUGCCAGGGUUCACCACUAUCUUAGGAAUAUCAUGAAUAAAGCGUUAGAUUGGGUGUGCCCUAA